CAAACUUCAUUAGGGUUCUUAGUCUUUUCUUGAGCUUCCAAACGAGAAAAUAUCCUCAAAUUUCAUCUAGAAAGACCUUGAUCUUUUAUUGAGCUACCAAUCAGGAACCCUAAUCCUCAAAUCCUCCUUCAAACCGCACUAGACUUUGCCUAUUUCUGCAAUUUUUCUGCAAAAAUCAAAGAGGCGGGACCACAACCUUCUAAAAUUUAUUUGACAUGUCAAUGUGGAGGAACAAGAUGAAGGUUAGAACUUCUUUUUUUUUUAAGGAUUUUUUGUCCGUAUUCAAAAUCUUUUUUUCUGUAAUCAAAAUAUUGCUUCAUUUUUAACUUUUUACCAGGUGGAGCUGAAUCACA
rnacentral:lncRNA from 1 species